rnacentral:rRNA from 1 species
CUCCAGCUUGCUGGGGUGGAUGAGUGGCGAACGGGUGAGUAACACGUGAGUAACCUUCCCUUGACUCUGGGAUAAGCCCGGGAAACUGGGUCUAAUACCGGAUAUGACCUCCUAUCGCAUGGUGGGGGGUGGAAAGAUUUAUCGGUCUUGGAUGGACUCGCGGCCUAUCAGCUUGUUGGUGAGGUAAUGGCUCACCAAGGCGACGACGGGUAGCCGGCCUGAGAGGGUGACCGGCCACACUGGGACUGAGACACGGCCCACACUCCUACGGGAGGCAGCAGUGGGGAAUAUUGCACAAUGGGCGCAAGCCUGAUGCAGCGACGCCGCGUGAGGGAUGACGGCCUUCGGGUUGUAAACCUCUUUCAGUAGGGAAGAAGCCUUCGGGUGACGGUACCUGCAGAAGAAGCGCCGGCUAACUACGUGCCAGCAGCCGCGGUAAUACGUAGGGCGCGAGCGUUAU